rnacentral:tRNA from 1 species
GGUGCUGUGGCUUAGUUGGUUAAAGCGCCUGUCUAGUAAACAGGAGAUCCUGUCGAUGACUGCAACUCUC